CAGUAGCCGCGGUAAUACGGAGGGUCCGAGCGUUAAUCGGAAUUACUGGGCGUAAAGCGUGCGCAGGCGGUUUGUUAAGCGAGAUGUGAAAGCCCUGGGCUCAACCUAGGAAUAGCAUUUCGAACUGGCGAACUAGAGUCUUGUAGAGGGGGGUAGAAUUCCAGGUGUAGCGGUGAAAUGCGUAGAGAUCUGGAGGAAUACCGGUGGCGAAGGCGGCCCCCUGGACAAAGACUGACGCUCAGGUGCGAAAGCGUGGGGAGCAAACAGGAUUAGAUACCCCUGUAGUCCCUGUCUCUUAUAC
rnacentral:rRNA from 1 species